rnacentral:rRNA from 1 species
UAACGCGUGAGUAACCUGCCCUAGAGUGGGGGACAACAGUUGGAAACGACUGCUAAUACCGCAUAAGCCCACGGUACCGCAUGGUACUGAGGGAAAAGGAUUUAUUCGCUUUAGGAUGGACUCGCGUCCAAUUAGCUAGUUGGUGAGGUAACGGCCCACCAAGGCGACGAUUGGUAGCCGGACUGAGAGGUUGAACGGCCACAUUGGGACUGAGACACGGCCCAGACUCCUACGGGAGGCAGCAGUGGGGGAUAUUGCACAAUGGGGGAAACCCUGAUGCAGCGACGCCGCGUGGAGGAAGAAGGUUUUCGGAUUGUAAACUCCUGUCGUUAGGGACGAUAAUGACGGUACCUAACAAGAAAGCACCGGCUAACUACGUGCCAGCAGCCGCGGUAAAACGUAGGGUGCAAGCGUUGUCCGGAAUUACUGGGUGUAAAGGGAGCGCAGGCGGGAAGACAAGUUGGAAGUGAAAACCAUGGGCUCAACCCAUGAAUUGCUUUCAAAACUGUUUUUCUUGAGUAGUGCAGAGGUAGAUGGAAUUCCCGGUGUAGCGGUGGAAUGCGUAGAUAUCGGGAGGAACACCAGUGGCGAAGGCGGUCUACUGGGCACCAACUGACGCUGAGGCUCGAAAGCAUGGGUAGCAAACAGGAUUAGAUACCCUGGUAGUCCAUGCCGUAAACGAUGAUUACUAGGUGU